rnacentral:pre_miRNA from 1 species
GUCCUGUGUGUAGAUGGUGUUCAGCACCAAGGACAGGUAUGUUUGCAUGUGUGUAGAUGGUGUUCAGCACCAAGGACAGUUGUGUUUGCUU